CUUAAUACAUGCAAGUCGAACGGAGUUAAGGGUUUCGGCCUUUAACUUAGUGGCGAACGGGUGAGUAACGCGUGAAUAACCUGACUCAAAGAGGGGGAUAACAACGGGAAACUGUUGCUAAUACCGCAUGAGACCACAACACCGCAUGAUGAAGGGGUCAAAGAUUUAUCGCUUUGAGAGGGGUUCGCGUCCCAUUAGGUAGUUGGAGGGGUAACGGCCCACCAAGCCAACGAUGGGUAGCCGAGCUGAGAGGCUGAUCGGCCACACUGGAACUGAGACACGGUCCAGACUCCUACGGGAGGCAGCAGUAGGGAAUAUUGGGCAAUGGGCGCAAGCCUGACCCAGCAACGCCGCGUGAGGGAAGAAGGUUUUCGGAUUGUAAACCUCUGUCCUAUGUGACGAAGGAAGUGACGGUAGCAUAGGAGGAAGCCCCGGCUAACUACGUGCCAGCAGCCGCGGUAAUACGUAGGGGGCGAGCGUUGUCCGGAAUUACUGGGCGU
rnacentral:rRNA from 1 species